GGAUGCACCACUGGCCAAGGCCAAGCCCACUGGCAACGAUGGUAGUGCCUCUUUGGUAAUAUAUUUCAGAAAAGAGAAGAAAACCUGCACAAUGACAGUGGAAGAGAAGGAGGAGUCUCUUCACGUGCUGGAGCAGAGAUUCCCCUCUGCCCAUGAUGAAGAUAUGGAGAACUUUUCUGAUUUUGAAACUGGAUCAAUUGACAGCAGAGGAGCAAUCCACUCUGGAAGGUCCUGACAACAGAUAAAUGGACGAAGACUUGAGGUCAGUGAGAGGAAGAAAGAAGCCUCUCUUGGGAGGUGAAUCACAGAACCAAAGAGACCUUUAACUUCACCCAGUCCAACUGUUAACCCAGAACUGCCGAGUCACCACUAAACUGUGUCCCACAGC